GUCCACGCCGUAAACGAUGGAUACUAGGUGUGGGGGGUAUCGACCCCCUCCGUGCCGAAGCUAACGCUCUAAGUAUCCCGCCUGGGGAGUACGGCCGCAAGGCUAAAACUCAAAGGAAUUGACGGGGGCCCGCACAAGCAGCGGAGCGUGUGGUUUAAUUCGAUGCAACGCGAAGAACCUUACCUGGGUUUGACAUGUUGGAAGUAGCGCCUGGAAACAGGUGGCGACCCGUAAAGUCGGGAACCAGCACAGGUGCUGCAUGGCUGUCGU
rnacentral:rRNA from 1 species